rnacentral:rRNA from 1 species
UACGUAGGGGGCAAGCGUUGUCCGGAAUCAUUGGGCGUAAAGCGCGCGUAGGCGGCCAGACAAGUCCGGUGUGAAAGUCACAGGCUCAACCUGUGAAUGCCGCUGGAAACUGUCUGGCUAGAGUCCGGAAGGGGCGAGUGGAAUUCCUGGUGUAGCGGUGAAAUGCGCAGAUAUCAGGAGGAACACCUAUGGCGAAGGCAGCUCGCUGGGACGGUACUGACGCUGAUGCGCGAAAGCGUGGGGAGCGAUCCGG